UACGUAGGGUGCGAGCGUUGUCCGGAAUUAUUGGGCGUAAAGGGCUCGUAGGCGGUCUGUUGCGUCGGGAGUGAAAACUCAGGGCUUAACCCUGAGCCUGCUUCCGAUACGGGCAGACUAGAGGUAUGCAGGGGAGAACGGAACUCCUGGUGUAGCGGUGGAAUGCGCAGAUAUCAGGAAGAACACCGGUGGCGAAGGCGGCUCUCUGGGCCUUACCUGACGCUGAGGAGCGAAAGCGUGGGUAGCGAACAGG
rnacentral:rRNA from 1 species